CGGCGGUUCGGGUCAACCGCGAUCGAAGAACCGAUCGAAGAAUCAAACCACGCCGCCGCCCCGCCGCCACCGAUUUCUUUAAGCGCGCCCGUGAGACCCCGCGGCGCCCUCAUAAUCGCGUCACGGGCCGGGGGCGGGACCAACCGGACCCGGUCAACCCCGCACGUUGCGCGGAUCUGGCCAUCGGACUGGGUAGCGGCGCACCGCGGUUGACUUUCUGCGCUGUACGUGUCACGGUUGCCUUCUCCUUCCUCGGCGGCAGGGCGCGUCAGCCACCUGCGCAGCACGACGCCGCCCUUGAACGGCACGGAGUUCAGAG
rnacentral:lncRNA from 1 species